GAUAAACGCUGGCGGCGUGCAUGAGACAUGCAAGUCGAACGAAGGAUCGGGCUUGCUCGAUCCUUAGUGGCGGACGGCUGAGUAACGCGUAGGUGACCUACCCCGAAGUGGGGAAUAACUGCCCGAAAGGGCGGCUAAUACCGCAUGUGGUCGCACGUUCAUUCGUGCGAGUAAAGCCGCAAGGCGCUUCGGGAGGGGCCUGCGUCCGAUUAGCUCGUUGGUGGGGUAAUGGCUUACCAAGGCGACGAUCGGUAGGUGGUCUGAGAGGACGAUCACCCAGACUGGGACUGAGACACGGUCCAGACUCCUACGGGAGGCAGCAGUCGGGAAUUUUGCUCAAUGGGGGAAACCCUGAAGCAGCAACGCCGCGUGAGGGAUGAAGGCCUUCGGGUUGUAAACCUCUUUUGUCAGGGACGAUGAUGACGGUACCUGGCGAAUAAGCCACGGCUAACUACGUG
rnacentral:rRNA from 1 species